CUGAUACAGUGCCAUUCAGGCAGUGUGCACUCGCCAAACAUGUUAUUGAAGGCUUCAACCUUCAACCAAAAACGUCUAAUCUAUGCCGUGUAACAAGGGAGCUUUAACCAUGUCUUGUGAUCCUACUCCCUGGCACUCCUCCAUGUGUCAGCUACAGGGCGGAUGUUGACCCGGCUGAAGUUUGUUACAGGGGAACUGAUAUCCAGAGAAUAUCAAGAAGCUGAAGCUUCCCAGACCCCAGCUCCUCGCUUCCUGGCACCAGAAUUCACCAUCUGCCACGGAGACAGACAGCCAAGGGCAUCCACCUGCAGAUUCCCUUACCUCGCCAUUCCCUUCUCUGUGAGGCACAAAAAAGAAAUUCCAGAUAAACACUAAACAUUCUAAUUAAACAGAAAAACGGAGAACUAAAAUUUGUUUUCGAC
rnacentral:lncRNA from 1 species